UACGUAUGGUGCAAGCGUUAUCCGGAUUUACUGGGUGUAAAGGGAGCGCGGGCGGCACGGCAAGCCUGAUGUGAAAGCCCGCGGCCCAACCGCGGGACUGCAUUGGGAACUACCGGGCUGGAGUGCCGGAGAGGUAGGCGGAAUUCCUAGUGUAGCGGUGAAAUGCGUAGAUAUUAGGAGGAACACCGGUGGCGAAAGCGGCUCUCUGGCCUGUAACUGACACUGAGGCUCGAAAGCGUGGGGAGCAAACAGG
rnacentral:rRNA from 1 species